rnacentral:rRNA from 1 species
UACAGAGGGUGCGAGCGUUGUUCGGAAUUAUUGGGCGUAAAGGGCGCGUAGGCGGCGCCACAAGUCACCUGUGAAAACUCUGGGCUCAACCCAGAGCCUGCAGGCGAAACUGUGGUGCUGGAGUAUGGGAGAGGUGCGUGGAAUUCCCGGUGUAGCGGUGAAAUGCGUAGAUAUCGGAAGGAACACCAGUGGCGAAGGCGGCUUCCUGGGCUAAUACUGACACUGAGGUGCGAAAGCGUGGGGAGCAAACAGG